rnacentral:rRNA from 1 species
GGCGGACGGGUGAGUAACGCGUAGGAAUCUGCCCAGUAGUGGGGGACAACUUGGGGAAACCCAAGCUAAUACCGCAUACGCCCCAAGGGGGAAAGCGGGGGAUCUUCGGACCUCGCGCUAUUGGAUGAGCCUGCGUCGGAUUAGCUAGUUGGUAGGGUAAUGGCCUACCAAGGCGACGAUCCGUAGCUGGUCUGAGAGGAUGAUCAGCCACACUGGGACUGAGACACGGCCCAG